CACACACACCUGACUCGGCACGACCAGUCCCCACCCAGCUGGUCCUGACGUCUGUAAUCUGGGCACCAGACUGUGGGUGUCCAUCCUGACCACCUCCUUGAGGCCGUCACGAUGAAUUCUAAGUGCGUUUUGUCUGACUCACACCAGUCAUCAUGCCUGGAAAUUCUGAAUCUGGAAGAUAAACACCGCUCCAGGGGAUGCCGGGGGAAGGGCAGGGGCUGAGCGGGCAUGCCCUCCUCUCUUCCAGCCCCCAGCCCCCCAGGACACCCCCUCACCCUCUAGACAAUGCCCUGAGAAUUCCAAACCAGAGCCUCUCAAGGAUUAAAUCAGGCCCUGGAGGUGAGGAAAAGGGGCCCCUCCCGUUCCGGCUGAGGCCGAGAGGAGAACCCAGCUGCACGGCCUGCACGCCGCCUCCGCCUCCCGGGGAUGUUGGGUCCUUGCUCGGGGCCCCCUGCACCUCCCCAGAAAAUAAGCCCACACGAGGAGCCAGCACCAGGUCAAGAAACUUGACCUGCACCCAGAGGUCACUCUGGAUCAUUUCUUCCAGAAAAGUGUGCAUUAACCUGUAAGACUUCCUGCACCGCAGCGGCGGGGAGCGAACGGAGCUGGUUAGCAGAGCAGAGACGGGGAGGAGACCGAGGUGACUGGAGUCCUCAGGACAUAGAACUGCAUGGAGAGAAAACUCCAGAAGUUUUCAGAGUCCUUGAGUAUUCAAGAGAAUGUUGCAUGUGAUAAAACUACCCAAAGCAAGGAAAAGAAUAACCUAGUCAAGAAUGGAGCCUGUUUUUACCACAAGCUGGAACGCCUUGGGAUUCGUAGCAUGGGGCCGGCGGGUGGUAGGGGGGAGUACUCAGAGGUCUAGCCUCAAGAGCGGAAAAUAUUACCAACAAGGUAAAUUUUACAAUGUCUGGCAUCUAGCAAAAAAUUAGCAGUCAUGCAAAGAAGAAGGAAACUAUGACUCAUAUCAAGCAGAAAAAUCAAUCAAUUGAAAGGGACACAGAACUAACAGGGUGUUAGAGUUAGCAGGUGACAUUAACAUAGUUAUUUGCACUGUAUUCCAUCUGCACAAAAAGUUAGAGACAUAGAAGGUAAAGACCUAAAUCAAACUUUUUGGAAUGAAAAGCUACAGUAUUUAAGAUGAGAAAUUAUAUGGAGAAAAAAAAUUAAUGGCAGAUUAGACAUUAUAGAAGAAAAGAUUAGUGCAUUUGAAGACAUAUCAAUAGAAACUAUCUAAAAAUUAAAUACAUAGAGGAAAAAAAUGAACGAAGUAACUGAGCUUUGGGCAACAUAUAUGUGACCCAACAUGUGCGUCAUUGGAAUCUCUAAAGGAGAAGAGAAAGUGGAAAGAGGACAGAAAAAAGAUUUGAAGAAAUAAAGGCUGAAAAGCCUCCA
rnacentral:lncRNA from 1 species